UGGCUCUCGCAUCGAUGAAGAACGCAGCGAAAUGCGAUAAGUAAUGUGAAUUGCAGAAUUCAGUGAAUCAUCGAAUCUUUGAACGCACCUUGCGCCUUUUGGUAUUCCGAAAGGCAUGCCUGUUUGAGUGUCAUGAAAUCUCAAUCCCCUCGGGUUUUGUAAUGAGACCCUUGGUGGACUUGGACUUGGGCGUCUUGCCGGUCACACGGCUCGCCUCAAAUGACUUAGUGGGAUAAGCGCCCAUGACUAAGACGUAAUAAGUUUCGUCUGGUCCGGCGUGAUGUCUGCUCAGAACACCACAUAUUUUUUUUUACUCUGACCUCAAAUCAGGUAGGGCUACCCGCUGA
rnacentral:misc_RNA from 1 species